rnacentral:rRNA from 1 species
AGCGAACGCUGGCGGCAGGCCUAACACAUGCAAGUCGAACGAACUCUUCGGAGUUAGUGGCGGACGGGUGAGUAACACGUGGGAACGUGCCUUUUGGUUCGGUAUAACUCAGGGAAACUUGUGCUAAUACCGAAUGUGCUCUUCGGGGGAAAGAUUUAUCGCCAUUAGAGCGGCCCGCGUCUGAUUAGCUAGUUGGUGAGGUAACCGCUCACCAAGGCGACGAUCAGUAGCUGGUCUGAUAGGAAGCCCAGCCACGCUGGGACUGAGACACGGCCCAGACUCCGACGGGAGGCAGCAGUGGGGAAUAUUGCGGAAUGGGCGAAAGCCUGACGAAGCCAUGCCGCGGGAAUGAUGAAGGUCUUAGGAUUGUAAAAUUCUUUCACCGGGGACGAUAAUGACGGUACCCGGAGAAGAAGCCCCGGCUAACUUCGUG